rnacentral:misc_RNA from 1 species
AGACUCAUACGGAGGCAGCAGUGGGUCCAUUCAUUCGUGAGGCAGCAGUGGGACAGUUGGUUGAGUACGAACGAUGGCGGCCCACUCAUUCGGGAGGCAGCAGUGGGACCCACCCAUACGGGAGGCAGCAGUGGGACUCAUUUGGGAGGCAGCAGUGGGACAGUUGGCUCAGUACGAACGAUGGCGGCCCCACUCAUUCGGGAGGCAGCAGUGGGCCCCACUCUUAUCGGGAGGCAG